rnacentral:rRNA from 1 species
GACGAACGCUGGCGGCGUGCUUAACACAUGCAAGUCGAACGGAAAGGCCUCUUUCGGGGGGUACUCGAGUGGCGAACGGGUGAGUAACACGUGAGUAACCUGCCCUUGACUUUGGGAUAACUCAGGAAACUGGGGCUAAUACCGGAUAGGAGCUCCUGCUGCAUGGUGGGGGUUGGAAAGUUUCGGCGGUUGGGGAUGGACUCGCGGCUUAUCAGCUUGUUGGUGGGGUAGUGGCUUACCAAGGCUUUGACGGGUAGCCGGCCUGAGAGGGUGACCGGCCACAUUGGGACUGAGAUACGGCCCAGACUCCUACGGGAGGCAGCAGUGGGGAAUAUUGCACAAGGGGUGGAAGCCUGAUGCAGCAACGCCGUGUGCGGGAUGACGGCCUUCGGGUUGUAAACCGCUUUCGCUCAUGACGAAGCUUUGUGUGACGGUAGUGGGUAAAGAAGCACCGGCUAACUACGUG